AGGCAGCUGAAUUAAAAGCAUCAGUCCUAGAGCGCCGCACCUGUCGCGUCGAAAAAAAUCAGAACAGCUGUGGAUAAAGAGAUCCUGGAAAAAUGACCAAAGUGACCCUUAUAUGCCUGGGAUUACUUGUCCUGGCCGCCUAUAUUCCAGUACAGGUGGAUUGUCAGAACACCACCACCAGCAACAGCACCAUGAGCACCCCCACCAGCGCUAACACCGUAUCUACGGCUUCAACAACAAACAGCACGAUGUCAAAUACCACCUUGGUGUCUGCAUCAAGCAACAGUACAUCAUUAAACAGCACAAUUUCAUCCACCACAACCAAGGGGGCCGGCACCUGCUUGAAAUCACAGGCCAGUUUAUUGUUGGUCCCUUUCCUGCUUUGUGCCACCAUUCUACUACAUCAUGGCUGUUAAAGACUCAAAAAGAAAAAUCACAGACAAGGAAAACUGUCAAGCCCAGCAGUGAAGAAGGAGGCAGAUGAGAGCAAAGUUUUUUAAAUGCAUCUUUUAAUUGUUUUAAUAUUCAGUUAAACAACAUCUGAAAAUAAGUGAUUUGGAAAACAAACAACUCUUUGUGAAUGCCCCUUCGGAUAAGUGGUUUGUGCAAUGCUCCUCUUUUUCAAGAAAAAAAAUGUCAACUACUACAAUAAUUCAAAUAGUAAAGAUACCAUACCAAGGAAAAAAUGACUGGGCCAUAAGGAAUAAAGUGCGCACUUUUCAUGUGUUCUUUUAAAAUGAACCGAUGUAGUCUUCAGUCUGCUUAAAGAUUUUUGGUGAUUUUUUUAUAUUCUGUAUCUAAGCUUCUGAGUAAAGUGGCCAUUAAUACUGUUGAUGAUUCCAAUAUUUUUAAGGGAAAAAAAAAUAACCAGAAAUGAAAAUAAACACGUUAAAUUACAAAAAAGCAAACCAGUCACCUUUUAAGCCUAAUAACAAGCAAAAAUGUACCAAGCAAUCAACUAUAUCUGAAAUAUUUAAAAAAUAAUGUUUCUAUCUGCAAAGCACAUUUAUUUAAACUUGGAUUUGAAUUUUAAGCAUAAACCCUAGCUAUUUAUAUCAAUGUUAGCAAUGCAGAUUCAAAGUUGGCAUGAAGGUUUUGAUACCAGUUUAAAAAAUAGACAAACUUAAAAUGGAAUGUCUCUUUUACAUGACUUUUUAAAAAUAUUUUCUUUAUUGUACAAAUAUUUAAUGUACUCCCAGUUUCCUACAGUAUCUCAGCUGGUCAAAUUGAAACUGCUGUGAUUUAACACUUUUUCCAUAGAUUUAUAUUUUUUGUAUAAAAUUGGAUUGUUUAUUUAUAUAACUGUGUCUCUGUCAGUUUAGCUUGAAUGAUGGCAGCAAUCAGGGAGUAAUGUUUUACCUAUGUAUUUUAAAAAAUAAUAAACUCUUGGAAAUAA